AUUGAACGCUAGCGGGAUGCUUUACACAUGCAAGUCGAACGAGUGGCGGAAGGGUGAGUAAUAUGACGGAACGUGCCCAGUAGCGGGGGAUAACUACUCGAAAGAGUGGCUAAUACCACAUACUAUUGGAGCGGCCGAUAUCGGUGUAGCUAGUUGGUGGGGUAAAGGCUCACCAAGGCAACGAUCCGUAGCUGGUUUGAGAGGACGAACAGCCACACUGGGACUGAGACACGGCCCAGACUCCUACGGGAGGCAGCAGUGGGGAAUUUUGGACAAUGGGGGAAACCCUGAUCCAGCCAUGCCGCGUGUAUGAGAAGGCCUUAGGGUUGUAAAGUACUUUUGGCAGAGAAGCGGUAUCUGCAGAAUAAGCACCGGCUAACUACGUGCCAGCCGCCGCGGUAAUAC
rnacentral:rRNA from 1 species